rnacentral:rRNA from 1 species
UACAGAGGUCUCAAGCGUUGUUCGGAUUCAUUGGGCGUAAAGGGUGCGUAGGUGGCGUGGUAAGUCGGGUGUGAAAUUUCGGAGCUUAACUCUGAAACUGCAUUCGAUACUGCCGUGCUUGAGGACUGGAGAGGAGACUGGAAUUUACGGUGUAGCAGUGAAAUGCGUAGAGAUCGUAAGGAAGACCAGUGGCGAAGGCGGGUCUCUGGACAGUUCCUGACACUGAGGCACGAAGGCCAGGGGAGCAAACGGG